AGUGGUGAAAUACAAAUGGCAGCCUCUAUAAAUGAAUUAAAUUCGAAGCUAGCAAAGUUAGGAGAAACACUAGGAUUAGAUACCCUAUUAUUCUAACCAUAAAAAUAAAAUUCGGGCUAGUAUUAGUUAAAUACUUAAAAACUAAAAGAUUUGGCGGUAAUUUAACCUUCCCAGAGGAACUUGUUUUUUAAUCGAUAAACCACGUAAAAUCUUACUUGAGUUUGUAUACCAUCAUUAAUAGACAAUCUUAUAAAAAGAAAAUUUGUGAAAAAUAAAUAAUUAAAGAAAUUAGAUCAUGGUGCAGCAUAUGGGCAAGUUAAAAUGAGUUACAAUAAAAUACUCUACACGAACUAAAAAUUACGAAGGAGGAUUUGGUUGUAACGGGAUUUAAUAAGACCCUGCGAUAUAAGCUCUAAAUUAUGUACAUAUCGCCCGUCGCUUUC
rnacentral:rRNA from 1 species